rnacentral:tRNA from 1 species
AUCUGGCUGGCUCAGUCAGUGGAACAUGAGACUCUUAAUCUUAGGAGUUGUGAGUUCAAGCCUCACGUUAGGUG